AGAUGGCGGACCGGCGCACGGGUGAGUAACACGUACCCAACCUGCCGAUAACUCGGGGAUACCUUUACGAAAGAAAGAUUAAUACCCGAUGGUAUAAUCAGACCGCAUGGUUUGAUUAUUAAAGAAUUUCGGUUAUCGAUGGGGAUGCGUUCCAUUAGGCAGUUGGUGAGGUAACGGCUCACCAAACCUUCGAUGGAUAGGGGUUCUGAGAGGAAGGUCCCCCACAUUGGAACUGAGACACGGUCCAA
rnacentral:rRNA from 1 species